rnacentral:lncRNA from 1 species
UUGUGUGCUCGCAUUUCUUGUGACUCUAAAAAAAAGGUGACCUUUUAUUGUUAAUUUUUUUUACAUAUCAAAUGCAUAUGGUUGUGUUAAUAUUGAACUAAUAUGUAUCUUAACUAUGUUUCUUUUUUAAUGACAGAGACCUGAAUUGAAUUUAUGGUUUUUUUUUGUUGUAAUGACAGAUACCUAAAUUAAAUUUGAAGGGAUUUAUCUGAGAAUCAACUUUGUUGUAAGGCUUAAAUAAAUUAGAAUGUUGAAUUCAAUUUGUUGUGUUGUUUGCUUUAUUGCAUUUGUCAUCGAUGCUUUUACCUUUUGCAGGGAACAUUUUCAUUUUUUUUUCCUUUUUGUAAUUUAGCUUUACUUUUGUGUUCCAUUGCAUGCUUGCCUUUGUAAUUUAGCUUCACUUAUGUUUUCCAUUGUAUGCUUGCUUUUUAUAUACUCUUUAAGGCAAAUUAUAAUAUAAACCAUAAUCUAAGGGUCAUAAGCUAUUACUUCUGAAGAAUAUUGUCGAUUAUCGUUAGAUUUUUCUAUAAUUUUUAACUAUUAGUCAAUGCUGGA